rnacentral:rRNA from 1 species
GAGGCGAUGAAGGACGUGCUAAUCUGCGAUAAGCGCCGGUAAGGUGAUAUGAACCGUUAUAACCGGCGAUUUCCGAAUGGGGAAACCCAGUGUGAUUCGUCACACUAUCAUUAACUGAAUCCAUAGGUUAAUGAGGCGAACCGGGGGAACUGAAACAUCUAAGUACCCCGAGGAAAAGAAAUCAACCGAGAUUCCCCCAGUAGCGGCGAGCGAACGGGGAGGAGCCCAGAGCCUGAAUCAGCAUGUGUGUUAGUGGAAGCGUCUGGAAAGGCGCGCGAUACAGGGUGACAGCCCCGUACACAAAAGCGCAUGUGCUGUGAGCUCGAUGAGUAGGGCGGGACACGUGGUAUCCUGUCUGAAUAUGGGGGGACCAUCCUCCAAGGCUAAAUACUCCUGACUGACCGAUAGUGAACCAGUACCGUGAGGGAAAGGCGAAAAGAACCCCGGCGAGGGGAGUGAAAAAGAACCUGAAACCGUGU